rnacentral:lncRNA from 1 species
GCUUGUAUAACUGGCUUCAAUCUAGGUACAACUUGUGCCGUCCAGCAUUUUGUAAUUGCUUGCUGAAGUGACAGUCCUUCUAUUGCAAUUCCUGCUCUCCGGAGGAAAUAGCUCCACACAGUUGUAGCAGCAUUGGAAGAAAAGAACAAAUGGACUAGAGAUUCCUCCUGAGGGUUCGCACAGCACCAACAUUUUGAUGGCAUUGAGUAUCCUAUUCUGCGCAAGAAAUCAUCUAGUGGCAGCUUAGCUUUCCAUACCUUCCACAUGAAGAAAGAUAUCUUGAAUGGUAGGCCUUUAACCCAUAUCAUCUUGUAGGCCAUUCUUGGAUUUUCUCUUCGCCGAAUGUAUUCCCAUGCUGAUUUUACUGAAAAUUGACCCUUUGUUUUAAGCAUCCAAAAAGGAGUGUCUAAAUCUGCAUCUGGAUUUGGAGGUCUAAUUUUCUGUAGAAUGUGAUUUGCAAGAUCUUCAGGUAACGUUUGGAAUAAUUUAUGCACAUUCCACAUACCAUUUUCAACCAUAUCAUUUACAUUGAGAAAAUCUUCGUCAAUUUCAAAAUGUGCAGGAACUAGGAAAUAUAAGGCUCCCAACUCGGUCCAGUUGUCAAACCAAAAUUGAGCCGAACCCAUCCUCAAUUUCCAGAAAAUUUGAUGCUCCAUCAAAUCCCUGCAUUCAAGCAUUUUUCUCCAAAUAUGUGACCCAUUUUUCCACGGUACAAUUACAGGAUUUAGCUUUUUGCAAUACUUUUGACACAUAAAAGCACUCCAUAAGCUGGGGUUUGUCCUGAAGUUCCACCAUAAUUUGCAGAAAAGAGCUUUGGAUACAUCAUGGAGAGAUCUGAACCCUAUACCCCCUUCCUCAUGCGGCAUGCAUAGGUUAGACCAUGAGGACCAAUGUCUUGAAUUUCCUCCCACGUUGCUGCUCCAGAAAAAUUUGGCAAAAAUGCUAUGCAAUUUGUUAAUCACAUAGCUUGUUGGAUUAACUGCAGAUAACAUAUGUAUUGGGAUACUCUGCAGGACAUUUGAAAUCAAGACUGCCCUACCUCCGACUGA